rnacentral:tRNA from 1 species
GGCCCCAUCGUCCAGCGGUUAGGACACCAGGUUUUCAUCCUGGUAACCAGGGUUCGAUUCCCUGUGGGGUCACCA